rnacentral:rRNA from 1 species
AUGAACGCUAGCUACAGGCUUAACACAUGCAAGUCGAGGGGCAGCAUGGUCUUAGCUUGCUAAGGCCGAUGGCGACCGGCGCACGGGUGAGUAACACGUAUCCAACCUGCCGUCUACUCUUGGACAGCCUUCUGAAAGGAAGAUUAAUACAAGAUGGCAUCAUGAGUCCGCAUGUUCACAUGAUUAAAGGUAUUCCGGUAGACGAUGGGGAUGCGUUCCAUUAGAUAGUAGGCGGGGUAACGGCCCACCUAGUCUUCGAUGGAUAGGGGUUCUGAGAGGAAGGUCCCCCACAUUGGAACUGAGACACGGUCCAAACUCCUACGGGAGGCAGCAGUGAGGAAUAUUGGUCAAUGGGCGAGAGCCUGAACCAGCCAAGUAGCGUGAAGGAUGACUGCCCUAUGGGUUGUAAACUUCUUUUAUAAAGGAAUAAAGUCGGGUAUGGAUACCCGUUUGCAUGUACUUUAUGAAUAAGGAUCGGCUAACUCCGUGCCAGCAGCCGCGGUAAUACGGAGGAUCCGAGCGUUAUCCGGAUUUAUUGGGUUUAAAGGGAGCGUAGAUGGAUGUUUAAGUCAGUUGUGAAAGUUUGCGGCUCAACCGUAAAAUUGCAGUUGAUACUGGAUAUCUUGAGUGCAGUUGAGGCAGGCGGAAUUCGUGGUGUAGCGGUGAAAUGCUUAGAUAUCACGAAGAACUCCGAUUGCGAAGGCAGCCUGCUAAGCUGCAACUGACAUUGAGGCUCGAAAGUGUGGGUAUCAAACAGGAUUAGAUACCCUGGUAGUCCACACGGUAAACGAUGAAUACUCGCUGUUUGCGAUAUACUGCAAGCGGCCAAGCGAAAGCGUUAAGUAUUCCACCUGGGGAGUACGCCGGCAACGGUGAAACUCAAAGGAAUUGACGGGGGCCCGCACAAGCGGAGGAACAUGUGGUUUAAUUCGAUGAUACGCGAGGAACCUUACCCGGGCUUAAAUUGCAGAUGAAUUACGGUGAAAGCCGUAAGCCGCAAGGCAUCUGUGAAGGUGCUGCAUGGUUGUCGUCAGCUCGUGCCGUGAGGUGUCGGCUUAAGUGCCAUAACGAGCGCAACCCUUGUUGUCAGUUACUAACAGGUUCCGCUGAGGACUCUGACAAGACUGCCAUCGUAAGAUGUGAGGAAGGUGGGGAUGACGUCAAAUCAGCACGGCCCUUACGUCCGGGGCUACACACGUGUUACAAUGGGGGGUACAGAGGGCCGCUACCACGCGAGUGGAUGCCAAUCCCCAAAACCUCUCUCAGUUCGGACUGGAGUCUGCAACCCGACUCCACGAAGCUGGAUUCGCUAGUAAUCGCGCAUCAGCCACGGCGCGGUGAAUACGUUCCCGGGCCUUGUACACACCGCCCGUCACACCAUGAGAGUUUGUAACACCCGAAGCCGGUGGCGUAACCCUUUUAGGGAGCGAGCCGUCUAAGGUGGGACAAAUGAUUAGGGUG